rnacentral:rRNA from 1 species
UACGGAAGGCAGCAGUGGGGAAUAUUGCACAAUGGGCGCAAGCCUGAUGCAGCCAUGCCGCGUGUAUGAAGAAGGCCUUCGGGUUGUAAAGUACUUUCAGUCGUGAGGAAGGUGUUAAGGUUAAUAACCUUAGCAAUUGACGUUAGCGACAGAAGAAGCACCGGCUAACUCCGUGCCAGCAGCCGCGGUAAUACGGGAGGGUGCGAGCGUUAAUCGGAAUUACUGGGCGUAAAGGGCACGCAGGCGGUUAAUUAAGUUGGAUGUGAAAUCCCCGGGCUUAACCUGGGAAUGGCAUUCAAGACUGGUUAGCUAGAGUCUUGUAGAGGGGGUAGAAUUCCAUGUGUAGCGGUGAAAUGCGUAGAGAUGUGGAGGAAAUACCGGUGGCGAAGGCGGCCCCUGGACAAAAGACUGACGCUCAUGUGCGAAAGCGUGGGGAGCAAACAGGGAUUAGAUACC